UACGUAGGGUGCAAGCGUUGUCCGGAAUAUUGGGCGUAAAGAGCUCGUAGGCGGUUUGUCGCGUCUGCUGUGAAAACCCGAGGCUCAACCUCGGGCCUGCAGUGGGUACGGGCAGACUAGAGUGCGGUAGGGGGAGAUUGGAAUUCCUGGUGUAGCGGUGGAAUGCGCAGAUAAUCAGGAGGAACACCAAUGGCGAAGGCAGAUCUCUGGGCCGUAACUGACGCUGGAGGAGCGAAAGCAUGGGGAGCGAACAGG
rnacentral:rRNA from 1 species